rnacentral:rRNA from 1 species
GCGCGAAAACUUUACAAUGCGGGAAACCGUGAUAAGGGAACUCCGAGUGCCCGUAAACGCGGGCUGUCCAUCUGCUUAAAAAACAGGUGAAGAAAGGGCCGGGCAAGACCGGUGCCAGCCGCCGCGGUAAUACCGGCGGCUCGAGUGGUGGCCACUAUUACUGGGCUUAAAGCGUCCGUAGCUUGGUUGUUAAGUCUCUUGGGAAAUCUGUCGGCUUAACCGACAGGCGUUUAAGGGAUACUGGCAAUCUAGGGACCGGGAGAGGUGAGAGGUACUCCAGGGGUAGGAGUGGAAUCCUGUAAUCCUUGGGGGACCACCUGUGGCGUAGGCGUCUCACCAGAACGGCUCCGACAGUGAGGGACGAAAGCUGGGGGAGCAAACC